rnacentral:misc_RNA from 1 species
CCAUUUUUGACCUUUAUGUUACAUAUAAUUAACUAACAGUAACAGGCAUGUUUCCAUAUGGAAGGAUUGAAAAGGUAGAGCUGUAGAGGCAUAUUCAGAAAUUAAGUGCUAGCCCAAAAUAUUUUGCAUUAUUGCUUCCUUGAUGUGUUGAUAUUAAAUUGUUUAAUGUGACAGUGAAUAUGUCUUAAAUUUUCAUGUGUUUGAUCUCAAACUCAAAGUUACUUGUGUAAUCCCAUGGAAACCAUCACAUUUCAUUCUGCUAUUUUAAUUUCUGCUUGAUAUGAUUGUUUUUAAUAUUCUAUAAAAAAUUGUUUAUAUCUAUAGUAGAAUAACUUCCUAAUAUGUAUUAUCAAUGUUCUACAAUUUUCAAGUCGUCUUGUGAUGAGUCAGCUUCUUUGGAACUAUUAUAUCUCGUUAGGAUUACAUGCAUAGUUAUUAAAGUUGUGCCUUAGGCUUAAGGCUCACCAAACUUCAACCCUAACACCUCUAUAGGAGAAACGCUAGCGACACUCACCAAGCACUUGCCUUAUAUGCCUAGAUGUGUGCCUUGUUCCAAAUGCAAGGCUUUGAAAAGGCACGCCUUCUUUAUUUCCUCAUUCGGUGAGCAUUUCAAUAAGUGAAAAAACACUACAACUCGGCUUGAAAUUUUCCUAUCUACUAGAAUUCGAUAUUGAGACACUAUGAAGUUUUCGGAAUUAGUGUCAUCGAUGAUAACUAGUCACCAAUAUCUCAUCAUACCACCACACCUAGGAUCGUAAACCUCCCAUAUUUUCAUUUCCAACACUCUUGGUCCUUUUAAUUCCUCUCCUCAUACGUUGUUCUCAAUAUUCUCUUAUUAUCUUUCUCAUCUUAACUACAUUUUGGACUCCUCUAUUUCUAUUUUAACUGAAAUCGUCCUUUUUUAAAUAUAACCGACAAUGCUAUGUUGGCCCGUCAUGUCAGUAUUUUUCUGAUAUUGCUUCUUUAUUUUUUUUCCAAAAAAGGACACUAGCAUGCUAUUUAGCUAAGUUAUUUCUUGAUUAGUUGCCAUCUAUUUGUAAAUAAAGAAGUAUUAACAUGUUAUUUAGGUAAUCUGUUUCUACGUUAUCUAAAAACGGUUCUUCUCAUUUUUUCUAACAACACCAAUAGUGCUAUUUGAAUUUGUUUUAGAAUAUAAAUAAUCUAGGUUUGUUUUCGAAUGUCCAAAAUUUGCAUUUGUUUUAUUUUCUAAAUGGUAUUAAUGGUAAAAGUCUAUGUUUAUUUUAUACUUCUUUAUGCUUAUUAAUGCUUUGUAGAU